UGUCACUGCUAAUGGCCGAGUUUGCAAUGU
rnacentral:piRNA from 1 species